UCUGACUAUUUUAUAUGAAUUAGUAGCCUCUAUUUUCAAUUUAAAAAAUUAUAUUAAUUUCUUAAUGGGUACUAGAAUCCACACAGACUGCAUUCGAGUUCGAGUGUAGUUCGACCAAUCCUAGUGCAUCCAUGGGUAGAUUUUUGAUCAAUUAUUUUUUUAAAUAAUUUCUAGCAAUUAGAUUUUACUCCAGACAUCUCUUCAACAGGCAUGUGGCAUCU
rnacentral:lncRNA from 1 species